UCCUUCCUGAUAGAUGUGAUAGAUGUGCAGCACUCGCCUCCUUCCGUCCUUAUCAACUUCAUGAUUAAAAAAACCCUCCAAUACCCUUUGUGCUGGAAGCUACUUUAAUGUCCAUCCGGGAGUCGGAAAUUAUGAUGGUGCAGCCUUUUCGUCUCUAUGGUAUUUGUCGCAUCUCGGAGACGUCAUCGCGCCUGUGGAGCGGGAAAUUUUGCAAGGUGGUGUGAUGGUUGGAAGUGAAAGCAGGUGGUAUGAUCUUAGUAUGCCCAAAUAAUGGCUUAUCAGGAAUUUAUUGUUUUAUACACACAUCAGAAGACUAAAAAAUCAAAAGUAUGGCAAGAUGGAAUUUUGAAGGCCACAUUUGGAGGAAAUAAGGCAACCUUAUUUGAUGACAAAGGACAGCUCUUGGAUAGUAUUUUCAUAAAGUUUCAGGUAUGUGCUUUGUUUUUAUUUGUUUGGU